rnacentral:rRNA from 1 species
AUGAAUCACGAAGAUGGCACUGAUGCUUGGGGUUCUCAAAGGCCAGAAACGCCCCCUUGGCAUGCAUCAGAGUACAGUCAACUCAUCUCUGCAGGGCCGUUGCUGCCACUACUAGAACAGUAUGCAGGCGUAGGUUCUUAUGACCAAAACACUCUUAGGGGGCCCCCGUGGCAAGUUCAGUCACAAGGCGCUAACACUGACAAAUGUACGGGCAGCCAACUUCAACUAGUUAGUAUGGCUAAUCAAGAGCCUUCAUGCAGCACGUGGCAUCAGGCAGCACCCAUGUACCUGCCAUUGACAUCAUACACAGCUACAUCUGCCAUACAUGUCCACGCGCAGACUCACGGCUUGUUGUUUGAAAUGAUGUCAUGCCAAAUCACUCGAAGAUGCGGCGCGGGGACAUCUACUGCGGGGAGCUCUGAGCGCACGGAAGACGCGUUCCACCAGCCAGCAAACAAUCAUGCCGCAAACAAUUUCGAGUCAAAGUCGGGAAUGUCAAUCAUUCCAGCAAUGCCGACAAGCACCCCUUUGAGCACAAGCACUGGCAACACUCAAGUAGAUGGAACUGCCGCCGAUACUGAAGUGAAUGAUGAAACUGACGACGACGCACAAGGGGAUGAAGAUGGUGGGCAAUCAGAGAUCGUGGUACCUCAGCCAUCGUACAUUGGGCAGAGAUUUGAAUCGUUCGAAGAAGCAAAGGAAUACUACCAGACAUAUGCAAAGUUCCAUGGAUUUGCGGUCAACACCGAGUACCAUAGGAAAAUUAAGAAAACUAACGAGUACAGCAGAGAUGGAGCACAGUGGGUGGUCAAUGAAUAUUUUGACGAGCACAACCACCAACUCAUAAAGAAGUUUGACCUGGUAAAAUUUCUGACCGCCCACAAAGGGUUCACCCCCGUCGAAAGGCAAUUCGUAAAGCUGCUACAUGAUUGUAACAUCGGUCCAUCAAGAACGGCCAAGUACCGUAGAGAGAGCAAGUUGGCAGACAUAGAGGCCACAAUGGCCUACUUCGAUGAGAAAGCGAAGGAAGAUCCAGAUUUCUUCUACAGGAUAAGGUUGGACGAUGAGGACCGUGUCAGGAACAUGUAUUGGGUGGAUGGUGCUGCAAGGAGAUCCUACAAACAUUUCCGAGAUUGCAUUUCAUUCGACGCGACGUACCUCACCAAUAUGUACAAGAUGCCAUGCGCUCCGUUCAUAGGAAUAAAUAACCACAAUCAGUUGUUGCAGUUCGGCUGCGGGCUCGUCCGGAACGAAGACAUGGAUGGGUACGUUUGGCUGUUCAAGACCUUCUUGGAGUGCAUGGAUGGACUUGCUCCGAUGAACAUAAUAACAGACCAAGAUUUCAGCAUGUGUGCAGGCAUAGAGGAGGUCUUUCCAUUGGCAGUGCACAGGCACUGCAGGUGGCACAUUAUAAAGAAGGCUGAGGAGACGCUAGGACCGUUCUUUGCUGACCGUUCAGAGCUGCACAAGGCAUUCGAGCUGUGCGUGGACCACAACUUGACGGUGGAGGAGUUUGAAAGGAGCUGGAUGGCCAUGACUGAAACACAUCAAGUCCAAGACAACGAGACUCUUGUUAGCCUGUGGGAGAAGCAAAUAUUCCAGGAAGAAAUAAAGCGUGCCAGCAUGUUCACGGUUUUCCAGGUGGACGAACAUACGUUCAAGGUGUGUUCUAUUUUGGGCAUGUCAGAUUCAGAACCUGAAGACCCGGACAAAGGAAGGAACUACUUCGUCAAAGCCUCGAUAGGCGAAGGCGAGUACUACUGUCAAUGCUGCAAGUUCGAACGGGACGACAUUACAACACACGCAGUUCUGGCUGUGCAUGACGAGAGACCUGAGUCAACCAUGGAAGCCGUGAGGCACGUUGUGCUGACAAAGAACUAUGCUGAGCUAAUUGAUGAAGCAUGCAAGAGUGAUGAGACCGCGAGAGUCGAAGAAAAAUACAGGAAGGCACUGAAAAGAGAGCUUGAUGAGAUCAAGAAGAGGAAAGCUGAGGAAGCCUUACACCGGUUCCCCCGCACAUCAAGUGUGCCUUCAUCCACGGGGCCAUCAUCUGAAAACUCGGAGAUAGGAUCUGGAACAGCAAGCACACAGACCCAUGUCAGGAACCCACCCCGUUCUAUCACAAAGGGUCGUCCAAGAGAGAUAAGGUACAAGUCGGGAUUGGAGAUCCAAGCAAAACACAAGAAAACGAAGAAAGGGGCGGGCAAUCCAUGA